UUGACCUCGGAUCAGGUAGGGAUACCCGCUGAACUUAAGCAUAUCAAUAAGCGGAGGAAG
rnacentral:rRNA from 4 species